GAUGAACGCUGGCGGCGUGCCUAAUACAUGCAAGUCGAGCGGACAGACGAGAAGCUUGCUUUUCUGAUGUUAGCGGCGGACGGGUGAGUAACACGGGGAUAACCUAACUAUAAGACUGGGAUAACUACGGGAAACCGGAGCUAAUACCGGAUAAUAUUUUGAACCGCAGGGUUCAAAAGUGAAAGACGGUCUUGCUGGCACUUAUAGAUGGAUCCGGGCUGCAUUAGAUAGUUGGUAAGGUAACGGCUUACCAAGGCAACGAUGCGUAGCCUACCUGAGAGAGGGUUCGUAGACACUGGAAGUGAGUCACGGUCCACACUCCUACGGGAGGCAGGAGUAGGGACCUUUCGGAAACGGGCGAAAGCAUGAUGGAGCAAUGGCGCGUGGGUGAUGAAGGUAUUCGGAUGUGAAAGUACUGGGAUUAGGGAUGAACAUAUGUGUUAGUAACUGUGCAAGUAUUGACGGUACCUAAUCAGAAAGCCUCGGCUAACUAUGUG
rnacentral:rRNA from 1 species